rnacentral:lncRNA from 1 species
GAGAGGUAUGAGGGUAGCUUGGAAGACAAUAUAGUUAGGGGAGCAUGGGAGAAUUAGUUGGGUUUUCUUUGUGAGAGGAGCUUGGUGGUUGUUGGAGCAAGAAUGAGAGCUUGGGGAAGAAAAUAGCUUGAGCUGAGAGAAGAAAAAGUUGAGAGGAAUAAGCAGGGGAGAGGAGAGUGAGCUUUGGAGAGAUGCUUGAGAGAGAGAGCAAUCUGAGAGACUUUGAGAGGUGAGACCGAAGAAAGUGAGAGAAAGAGAAGAGAACUAAAGCAGAGCACGAGGAAGAGGAAGAAAGUUGGAGUCUUACCGGUUUAGGAGUAUAAGAAAGUGUGAGAAGUUGGCCAAGCUUUGAGAAACCUACGUAUGAUCAAUGUACAUUUCACCGUUUUCUUCUUCUGUGUUUGUUGAUUUUGAAUAUUAUUUGUUGAUUUGGGUGCAAAUAUCAUGUUUCCAUGUGUUGCUUGUUGCCUUUAAGCGGUUGAUAGAUUAGAUCUUGCCAUAUUCGUCCAUGCUCCUUUGUUUUUUUAUAUAUAUCCUGAAUACGGUUUAAUUUUGUUGGGUGAUGUAAUGACCGGGUAUUUUAUGACACGUUAACAUUUUUAGUUUGAAAAGUCUUAUUUUGUGUGAUGGUUGAAAAGUCAAAAAGAAAAGUGUUUGGAAAACACGUGUCAAUUUCGGAUUGGUGAAUUUCAUUUUAUUGUGUCGGUCAAUUAGACGAGUUGAAAUUUUAUGUCAUGUCAGCCUUAGGGUAGAAAAUUUAUUAAGAUUUUAGAAAUUGAAAAUUUCCAGAAACGAAAAACGAAAACGAAAAAAAAAUUAAAAAGAAUUAAUUAAAAAUUAAUUAGAAUUAAUUAAAAAUUAAUUAGAAUUAAUUAAGAAAAAUUAAAUUAAAUUGAUGAAUAAUAAAAUUGAGAAAAUUAGUUUUAGAUUGGUGUUAAUAAAUAAAUUUGUGUGUUAAAAAAAAUGAAUUGGAAAUUAAAUAAAACAAAUAGAAUAAAUAAAAGAAAAGUAAAAUAAAAGAAAUGAAAUGAAAAUAUUCAAUGGGCUAUUAAACUUGGGUCAUGUAAAGGUAGUAUGAAUUAUUAAAAAAAAAAUGAAAUGGAAUUGAGCCUUUGAUUUUGGGCUUAAGUGGCUGGUGAAAUUUAGUAAAAAACAAAAAAAAAAAAAAAAAAAAAAGAGGGAGAAUUAGAAACUGGUAGCACGCGGGGAGAGAGAGAAGGGCAUUGUGCAGAAAUUUGAUCACUCGUCGGAUCUUUGACCGGCCGUUUGGAUGGCCAAACGACCUCCAUUUCGGCCCAAAUUUGGAGAAAGUGCUUUAUACGACUAGAGGAACAAGUCUACGGUGGCUGAUUUCAUUUUUAAAGGUCAACUUCUCAGAUUUGUGGUAGGAGAAAACUAACCCUAAAACUCAAAUUUAAUGUAUUUUCCAUUGGAAAAAAAAAAUUAUAAAUCUGAUAUUUAUGAGUUAAGUAGAUAAUUUUGAUGUUGUGUGAAUUUUCUGGAAUGAUUUGGGAUUUUUUCUGGAUUUUUUUUGUAAUUUCCAGAAUUCGUUGUAAUUGAUAAUUAAUCGUUUUAGGUUGUUAAAAAUUAUUAGAAAUAUAGGAAAAUUCUAGAAUUAUGGCAAGAUUUCAAAUCUAGUGAUUUAUGAAUUUCUGAAAAUUGAUUGGAAUAUUUGCGGCAAUUUUAUUGUGGAAAAUUAGUUAUUUUCAAAUAUUGGGAAUUAUUAAAAUUAUUGAAAAAUUCUGAAAUUGUGAUAUAAAUUCAAGUAUAUUGAUGUGUGAAUUUUUGAAAUUUUGUUGGUGUAUUUUCGAGAAUUUUAAUGUAAAAAUUUCAUUUUAUUGGGUUAUUGAGAAUGUUGGAAUUAUUGAAAUUGUAGAAAUUAUUGAGGAAUUUUAGAGUUUGUGGCAUUCACUUGCAUCAUGGUUGUAUGAAAAAAAAAAUUAUGAAAAGUGUAUGAAAUGGAAAAAAAAUAAAAUAGUGAUGAAAAGUGAAAGCCGUGUGAGGCGAAUUAAGAAGGGAGAGAGAUCCCCAGGAUGAAAGACCUAAAAGUUUACCUCGAGAAGACUCCGAAUGGGGAGUAUAUUUGGGUGCGAACGCUUAUCCUUCGGUGAAAGCCCGAGAACGAUAGUGCAUUGUAUGACUGUGUGUCACACAUUCAUAUGCAUUCAUUUAAUGAUUGGAUGUUGUGGGAUUGAGUAUAAUGUUAUAUGUUAAAUUGUGUGACUUGAUUUAUAUUGGUAAACUGUUGUGUUUGGGUUAUUAAAAUAUAGUAAUCCCCCAUUAACCCUUUGGGUGUUAGACACCCUAUUGAGCAAUGUGGAAAUGUUCACACCUUCAUUUUUAUAUCUUUUUAGAUGCAGAUAUCACUCCUAAGGAUCCACAAGUGGGACAGGGAGGACUUCAGGAUACCCCUGGAGCGGUUUAGUGGAAUGUGUUUUAUUUUUUUAUUGUGUUUGUGGU